GGCUCAGUAGCUCAGUUGGUAGAGCAAUGGACUGAAAAUCCAUGUGUCGGCGGUUCGAUUCCGUCCUGAGCCAUCA
rnacentral:tRNA from 5 species